rnacentral:rRNA from 1 species
UAGGGAAUAUUGCUCAAUGGGCGAAAGCCUGAAGCAGCAACGCCGCGUGGAGGAUGACACUUUUCGGAGCGUAAACUCCUUUUCUUAGGGAAGAACAAUGACGGUACCUAAGGAAUAAGCACCGGCUAACUCCGUGCCAGCAGCCGCGGUAAUACGUAGGGGGCGAGCGUUGUCCGGAAUGACUGGGCGUAAAGGGCGUGUAGGCGGCCGACUAAGUCUGAUGUGAAAUACCCGCUUUUAAGGUGGGUCGUGCAUUGGAAACUGGAUGGCUAGAGUGCGGAAGAGGUAAGUGGAAUUCCCAGUGUAGCGGUGAAAUGCGUAGAGAUUGGGAGGAACACCAGUGGCGAAGGCGACUUACUGGGCCGCAACUGACGCUGAGGCGCGAAAGCGUGGGGAGCAAACAGGAUUAGAUACCCUGGUAGU